GCGCUCACAGUUCAGCAGCAAAUACGCUAACAUUUGAACAGCAUAGAUUAGAUUAGCAUGGCCCCCUGCACAAAGGUGACAUGCAAAGUCGUGACGUGUUCCAUAUUUUU
ensembl:snRNA U6 U6 spliceosomal RNA